AUGAACGCUGGCGGCGUGCCUAAUACAUGCAAGUAGAACGCUGAAGGAGGAGCUUGCUCUUCUGGAUGAGUUGCGAACGGGUGAGUAACGCGUAGGUAACCUGCCUGGUAGCGGGGGAUAACUAUUGGAAACGAUAGCUAAUACCGCAUGACAACAGUUAUUGCAUGAUAACUGUUUAAAAGGGGCAACUGCUCCACUACCAGAUGGACCUGCGUUGUAUUAGCUAGUUGGUGAGGUAACGGCUCACCAAGGCGACGAUACAUAGCCGACCUGAGAGGGUGAUCGGCCACACUGGGACUGAGACACGGCCCAGACUCCUACGGGAGGCAGCAGUAGGGAAUAUUCGGCAAUGGACGGAAGUCUGACCGAGCAACGCCGCGUGAGUGAAGAAGGUUUUCGGAUCGUAAAGCUCUGUUGUAAGAGAAGAACGAGUGUGAGAGUGGAAAGUUCACACUGUGACGGUAUCUUACCAGAAAGGGACGGCUAACUACGUG
rnacentral:rRNA from 1 species